CCUACGGGAGGCAGCAGUGGGGAAUAUUGCACAAUGGGGGAAACCCUGAUGCAGCGACGCCGCGUGAAGGAAGAAGUAUUUCGGUAUGUAAACUUCUAUCAGCAGGGAAGAAAAUGACGGUACCUGACUAAGAAGCCCCGGCUAACUACGUGCCAGCAGCCGCGGUAAUACGUAGGGGGCAAGCGUUACCCGGAUUUACUGGGUGUAAAGGGAGCGUAGGCGGUGCAGCAAGUCAGAAGUGAAAGCCCGGGGCUCAACUCCGGGACUGCUUUUGAAACUGUUGAACUAGAUUGCAGGAGAGGUAAGUGGAAUUCCUAGUGUAGCGGUGAAAUGCGUAGAUAUUAGGAGGAACACCGGUGGCGAAGGCGGCUUGCUGGACGGUAACUGACGUUGAGGCUCGAAAGCGUGGGGAGCAAACAGGAUUAGAUACCCUUGUAGUC
rnacentral:rRNA from 1 species